UUCUAAGGGUGGGAGGGUGGUGGCGCCGCAAGUGGUUGGGAAUGGUUGGGAAAUGAGUCAGUUAAUGGAAUAAGCAGGCUCUAGGAAGAGAAUGGAGACCACAAAGCUGAAAAGGGCAGUGGCGAUGCUCGUCUGACCCCUUCCAACCCAGAUAAUACCAACGUACUUGCGGGGGUUCUUGGAGCGACCCAUCAGAGGGGCUCGACGGAAGCGUGAGUUCAGAAAUUCCUCCUGCUCCAGGUUUACUGCAUGACACCUGGGAGUGCAGCCAAGCGCGGCCGGUCACCCUUACUCCCCGGACCCCGGACCCGAAACCGCAGCUCCAGAUGCGUUGCAAUCAAGCUCUGCGACGGCUGACCCUCGAGGGAAUGCGGCGACAUCGAGGUAGCGUCCUUAUAGCCGGGCGCCCCCCUCCGGGAAAGACGGCCACCGAGGCUCCACGGACAGUAGUCUCCGCGGGGCCUGCCGGGAAAUGUAGUCGCUCAAAAGGGGCAUCGGAAGCGAGAAAGCAUUGACCCUUGCCCCGAAACCACUUAUGUGAGUCUCCCCAAUCGCCGAGAUGGGGAUGCCAAGGGUCCCGGGGAUUCUUACCCAGCCUCUGCCAGGGGCUCUCCGUUUCCAGCUCGUCCUGCUCCCUUCUCAUUUCAAAAAAAAAAAAAAAAAAAAAAAACAACUGCCCCCACCUGUCUCC